ensembl:miRNA cin-let-7f cin-let-7f
UGAGGUAGUGGAUUCUGUAGUUUUUGCUCGUUAAAUGAGCCAGAGGAGGUAACUGCACAUUCCACCAUCUCGU